rnacentral:rRNA from 1 species
GGAUACCUUGCCUAAUUGUCUGGAAUAACCUCGGGAAACUGAGAACAAGGCCGGAUAGCCCACAAUGCCUGGAACGGUUUGUGGGUGAAGAUAGGAUGGGUCUGCGGCGUAUCAGGUUGUAGGGGGUGUAAUGGACCUCCUAGCCAUCGACGCGUACGGGUGUUGGGAGACAUAGCCCGGAGAUGGAUUCUGAGACACGAAUCCAGACCCUACGGGGUGCAGCAGGCGCGAAAACUUCACACUGCAGGAAACUGUGAUGAGGGAACUCCAAGUGCUAUCACUAUGUGGUAGCUUUUCUUGACUAUUAAUCGGUCAUGGAAUAAGGGCUGGGAAAGACCGGUGCCAGCCGCCGCGGUAAUACCGGCAGCUCAAGUGGUCGUCGCUUUUAUUGGGCCUAAAACGUCCGUAGCCUGUUUGGUAAAUCUGUGGGUAAAUCAACCAGCUUAACUGGUUGAAUUCUGCAGAGACUGCCAGACUAGGGACCGGGAGAGGUGUGGGGUACUCUAGGGGUAGGGGUAAAAUCCUGUCAUCCUUAGAGGACCACCAGUUGCGAAGGCGCCACACUGGAACGGAUCCGACGGUCAGGGACGAAGCCUAGGGGCACGAACCGGAUUAGAUACCCGGGUAGUCCUAGGUGUAAACGCUGUGAACUUGGUGUCGGGGAUCCGUAAUGGGUCCUCGGUGCCGGAGUGAAGAUGUUAAGUUCACUGCCUGGGGAGUACGGUCGCAAGGCUGAAACUU